UACGAAGGGGGCGAGCGUUGUUCGGAUUUACUGGGCGUAAAGGGCGCGCAGGCGGUCUUGAAAGUCAGGCGUGAAAGCCCCGGGCUUAACCUGGGAAUUGCGCUUGAUACUCUGAGACUGGAGUACGGGAGAGGAGAGUGGAAUUCCCAGUGUAGAGGUGAAAUUCGUAGAUAUUGGGAAGAACACCAGUGGCGAAGGCGGCUCUCUGGACCGUAACUGACGCUGAGGCGCGAAAGCGUGGGGAGCAACAGG
rnacentral:rRNA from 1 species